GUUUUAGGUCUCUAUCACUUGCAAUUAUUUAUAACAACUGUUUAGUUGGACUUUUAUUACAUUUGAAUUAACUGCUAUUUCAGACCUGUAAUAUAAAUUGAGAAAUUACAUUCGGCCUACAAAUUCUCAAAGUAUAUCUCUGCCAUGAAGUUUCUAAAAGAUAGAAAUCUUAUUCAAGCCAGCUUUCAGAUUUACAUUGUUUAUUCCACUUAGAUUUUCUAUCAAGAUGAAAGAGAUUCAUGAAAUGCUUCUAGCAG
rnacentral:misc_RNA from 1 species